rfam:Candidatus Altiarchaeales archaeon A3 Ga0073111_1064, whole genome shotgun sequence.
GCCGAGGUGGCAGAGUCCGGUAAUGCGCACGCCUCGAGAGCGUGUUCCCGCGAGGGAAUUAGGGUUCAAAUCCCUACCUCGGCG